GGCCGCGGGAAUUCGAUUCAGGCCUAACACAUGCAAGUCGAGCGGUAGAGAGAAGCUUGCUUCUCUUGAGAGCGGCGGACGGGUGAGUAAUGCCUAGGAAUCUGCCUGGUAGUGGGGGAUAACGUCCGGAAACGGACGCUAAUACCGCAUACGUCCUACGGGGGAAAGCAGGGGACCUUCGGGCCUUGCGCUAUCAGAUGAGCCUAGGUCGGAUUAGCUAGUUGGUGGGGUAAUGGCUCACCAAGGCGACGAUCCGUAACUGGUCUGAGAGAAUGAUCAGUCACACUG
rnacentral:rRNA from 1 species